rnacentral:rRNA from 1 species
AAAGUGGCGAACGGCUGAGUAACACGUGGGCAACCUGCCCCUCUCAUUGGGAUAGCCACGGGAAACCGUGGAUAAUACCGAAUACUUCGAGACUUCCGCAUGGAAGACUCGAGAAAGCUCCGGCGGAGAGGGAUGGGCCCGCGGCCUGUUAGCUUGUUGGUGGGGUAACGGCCUACCAAGGCAAUGAUGGGUAGCUGGGUUGAGAGACCGACCAGCCAGAUUGGGACUGAGACACGGCCCAGACUCCUACGGGAGGCAGCAGUGGGGAAUCUUGCACAAUGGGCGAAAGCCUGAUGCAGCGACGCCGCGUGCGGGAUGAAGGCCUUCGGGUUGUAAACCGCUUUCAGCAGGGACGAGGCGAAAGUGACGGUACCUGCAGAAGAAGCCCCGGCUAACUACGUGCCAGCAGCCGCGGUAAUACGUAGGGGGCAAGCGUUAUCCGGAUUCAUUGGGCGUAAAGCGCUCGUAGGCGGUCUGUUAGGUCGGGAGUUAAAUCCGGGGGCUCAACCCCCGUUCGCUCCCGAUACCGGCAGACUUGAGUUUGGUAGGGGAAGGUGGAAUUCCUAGUGUAGCGGUGGAAUGCGCAGAUAUUAGGAAGAACACCAGUGGCGAAGGCGGCCUUCUGGGCCAUAACUGACGCUGAGGAGCGAAAGCUAGGGGAGCAAACAGGAUUAGAUACCCUGGUAGUCCUAGCCGUAAACGAUGGACACUAGGUGUGGGGGAAUAUUUCUUCCGUGCCGCAGCUAACGCAUUAAGUGUCCCGCCUGGGGAGUACGGCCGCAAGGCUAAAACUCAAAGGAAUUGACGG